GUGUUACGAAGAUCCGUACGAACCUUGUCCUUUGUGCAAAGAGAUAGCAUAUUACUACGACCCGGUGGGACAGCGAUGCGCGGAGUACGGAACAAAAGCGGAACCAUGGUUUCCCCCUCCUGGAGUGAAUUGCUUUGGAAAUAGGCUUACUUGUGAAAGAGAAUGUAUGGGAUUUAACGAAAAUAACAAGAAUGGCAUACCAACAUCGUCGGGGAAAGCCUAAUGUGCAAGAGUUGCAGCAUUGCAAGAGUUGCGGCUACGCACCGGUUUUCGGUGAAACUUCCGUGAUCUUUCGUCAUAAAAAGCAGAGUGGUGUGGAAAUGUAUGCAUCAGCCAGUCGUCUGUGGCACUAUCGAAUAAUAAAAUACACUUCUUGGAAAAAGGG